rnacentral:piRNA from 1 species
UACAAAACAGUGCGACUUUCAUAUUCGCU